AGGGAUGUGGCUCAGCUGUAGAGCCUCUGCUUUGCAUAUCGAAGGUCCCAGGUUUAAUCCCUGGCGUCUCCA